GUAGAGAGGAGGUUGAAUUCUAUCCGAAUUUGGCUUUCUCUCCGAUGUGUUUGCAUGGAAGAAGACUCCCAGUGGAAGUCUUCAACGUUUUUCUUUUUUUCUUACCUCUUUUGUUUCUUUUUUUUGUUUCUUUACUUUUUUUUCCUUUUCAUGCCCUAAGAUUCACGCACAGGGGAUUUUAGAGCUGGGUUUCACAAUAUGUAUCGAUUAUAAAC
rnacentral:lncRNA from 1 species